GGGGCUGAGUAGCUUCGACGGGUUGAUCCGCGGUCAGUGUAAGCAGGCGGAGUUGCGAGCCCUCCUAAAACGAUCGCAACGCGUAUACACGCGAACAACAACUACGCACUCGCUGCCUAAUCUAGGUUAGCGACGGAGCACGAGAGGGUAGCCGGAUCCGUCUCGUCUCCGUCAACAAGUCCGGCUAGGCUGGGAAGUCCGCUCUGCGACUCGGCCGAAAUUAAGGAGCUGCUGCCGCCGGAAGUCUAGUUUCGAGACGUUCGGCGGUGUAAGACAAAUCCGAAACUGAGCCUGGAGAAAGCGCUGGUCCGGCGAUUCGGACUCGGGGGGCAGUUCCCCGACAGCUCCACCA
rnacentral:tmRNA from 1 species